GAAUUCGAUUAACGCGAAGAACCUUACCUGGGCUUGACAUGCACUCGCAACGCCUUGAAAGAGACGCCUCCUUCGGGACGGGUGCACAGAUGCUGCAUGGCUGUCGUCAGCUCGUGUCGUGAGAUGUUGGGUUAAGUCCCGCAACGAGCGCAACCCUCGUCUUUAGUUGAAAAUCUAAAGAGACUGCCGGAAACAAACCGGAGGAAGGUGGGGAUGAUGUCAAGUCAGCAUGGCUCUUACGUCCAGGGCUACACACACGCUACAAUGGUCGCUACAGCGAGAAGCCACCCCGCGAGGGAGAGCAGAUCUCUAAAAGGCGGCCUCAGUUCAGAUUGCACUCUGCAACCCGAGUGCAUGAAGUCGGAGUUGCUAGUAACCGCGUGUCAGCAUAGCGCGGUGAAUACGUUCCCGGGCCUUGUCACACCGAAUCACUA
rnacentral:rRNA from 1 species